UUAGCUCGAAUUCUAGAUAUCAACCACUUAAUCAAAAUCAAUUACAUAUUCUUGACUCAAAAUCUAAGAAUAGUUCUUAGCUUUUAGAAAUUAAACCAUGUUCUUAAUCAGGUUAACCCAAUAUCAUCAGCUUGUCUAAUCUAUACUCAACGAGCUAUACUUGACAAAUGGUUGGAUGUUGACAAUUAGGUUAAGUACUAUAAAUUGGACUUCAUAGUUGAUGAAAUCCAAAAUAUAUAUAAGGACAUAUAGCCUGCCAAUAACAUGCUAAUUCAUUUGCAAUAGUUGUGAGAUGAUCAGAGUCGCAUAGUGCAUGAGAUGCGUG
rnacentral:lncRNA from 1 species